UACGGAGGGGGCUAGCGUUGUUCGGAAUUACUGGGCGUAAAGCGUGCGCAGGCGGUUUUGUAAGACAGAGGUGAAAUCCCCGGGCUUAACCUGGGAACUGCCUUUGUGACUGCAAGGCUUGAGUGCGGCAGAGGGGGAUGGAAUUCCGCGUGUAGCAGUGAAAUGCGUAGAUAUGCGGAGGAACACCGAUGGCGAAGGCAGCCCCCUGGGUCAAGAUUGACGCUCAUGCACGAAAGCGUGGGGAGCAAACAGG
rnacentral:rRNA from 1 species